rnacentral:rRNA from 1 species
UACCGGUUCUGGUUUUGAGGUGGAGGACCCCGUAAGUGGGCUUUGGAACCAAGGCCCCAGGCCCUAAGGGGGCGCAGCAGGCGCGAAACCUCUGCAAUAGGCGAGAGCUCGACAGUGGUUACUCUGAGUGAUGUCCAGCUAACGGGCAUCUUUUUGGCACUUGCGUUAAUAUAUGUGUAUGAAUGAACGGGUGUGGUGCAAGUGCUGGGUGUCUAGCGCGCACUGCGUGUAAUGAGCCUAGCAUCCCUCGAGUAGGUACGGCGACGUAUUACUUGGGUCACUAUACGCAGUCGCGUGAGUCCUGGUUUUCGUGUCAAGGUCGUGUCCUGUUAUAAUGCCAGCCGUGCGUCGAACUAGAGUGGGUCUGUCGGUAGGAGUAUCUAUCAUGGGUCUACGGAUGGUCGGUGAGAAGGUCAAGUCUGGUAUCUCCAGUAGUGGUGAUGGGUGUAAAAGUCGCUCGUGAUCUCACUCGAAGAUCCAUCCAUGUGGUCGAAUGGUCGGCAUUGUCCAGAACAGCGUCUCGAUCGGUGAGGGUAUGAAAGUCUGGGGGAGCAAACCGGAUUAGAUACCCGGGUAGUCCCAGCUGUAAACGAUGCAGACUCGGUGAUGGGUUGGCUUCGAGCCAACCCAGUGCCGCAGGGAAGCCGUUAAGUCUGCCGCCUGGGGAGUACGGUCGCAAGACUGAAAUAUCAAAGGA